GACACUCGGAAAUAGAUAUCUCGGCUUUUGCAUCGAUGAAGAAUGCAGCAAAAUGCGAUACUUGGUUUGAAUUGCAGAAUCUCGUGAAUCAUCAAGUCUAUGAAUGCAACUUGCACCCGAAGCCAUUAGGCUGAGGGUAGGUCUGCCUGGGUGUCA